rnacentral:rRNA from 1 species
GUAGGGAAUAUUGCGCAAUGGACGAAAGUCUGACGCAGCGACGCCGCGUGAGUGAUGAAGGCCUUAGGGUCGUAAAGCUCUGUUGAAUGGGAAGAAAAAAAUGACGGUACCAUUCGAGGAAGGACCGGCUAACUUCGUGCCAGCAGCCGCGGUAAUACGAGGGGUCCUAGCGUUGUUCGGAAUCAUUGGGCGUAAAGGGUGUGUAGGUGGCCAUGUAAGUCAGGUGUGAAGGCCCCGGGCUCAACCCGGGAAGUGCACUUGAUACUGCGUGGCUUGAGUACCGAAGAGGGUAGUGGAAUUCCAGGUGUAGUGGUGAAAUACGUAGAUAUCUGGAGGAACACCGGUGGCGAAGGCGGCUACCUGGUCGAGUACUGACACUGAGACACGAAAGCAUGGGGAUCAAACAGGAUUAGAAACCCCGGUAGUCC